rnacentral:rRNA from 1 species
AACGAACGCUGGCGGCAGGCUUAACACAUGCAAGUCGAGCGCCCCGCAAGGGGAGCGGCAGACGGGUGAGUAACGCGUGGGAAUCUACCCAUCUCUACGGAACAACUCCGGGAAACUGGAGCUAAUACCGUAUACGUCCUUUUGGAGAAAGAUUUAUCGGGGAUGGAUGAGCCCGCGUUGGAUUAGCUAGUUGGUGGGGUAAUGGCCUACCAAGGCGACGAUCCAUAGCUGGUCUGAGAGGAUGAUCAGCCACACUGGGACUGAGACACGGCCCAGACUCCUACGGGAGGCAGCAGUGGGGAAUAUUGGACAAUGGGCGCAAGCCUGAUCCAGCCAUGCCGCGUGAGUGAUGAAGGCCUUAGGGUUGUAAAGCUCUUUCAACGGUGAAGAUAAUGACGGUAACCGUAGAAGAAGCCCCGGCUAACUUCGUGCCAGCAGCCGCUGUAACAC